ACCAUCAGUCUAAUUUAACUCCUCAUUUAAUUGUCCAUUGAAGAGUGAGUUCCCAGAAAGAGAAAACAAAAUUAUACAAUACUAAACCCUUUCCAUAUCUAUCUAUUGAUGUUCAAGGUUAAUGCACACAGAUUAAAAUUAUAUAUUAUUUGGACUACACUAUUCUUAUUUAAAUCUCCAGUAUUUGUCAUUAAAUGCAUUAUAGGUUUCUAUGUUUUUU
rnacentral:lncRNA from 1 species